AAUGUCUUCCUGAAAAGCGCUUAGUAGCGCAAAGGACGCACGAACAUGCUUUGAUCAAGUUUCCAUACCGAGAUUGUGAUCGACGCAAGAUAAACCCCAGUGACACACAUUGCUUCUGCAAAAGAAAGUAUAUAAGCCAAGAUGCUUUAACAGAAAAAAAGAGAGAAAAACGCGCCUACUUCUUGUUUCUUGCUCACACACGAAGACGGAGAGUUCUUUUAACCUUUAGGGUUUGAACGAUAUAACUGCUUUUAUUGUUUUUAUAUUCAAUUUUUGUAAACCUUUUCGCUUUUUUAUAUAAAUAAAAAUUCUCCUUUUUGGGGAACAAAAGACCAUUUGUUUCCGGGGGAUUCCUUUCCACUGAGGGGCCUCCUCCCAGGGGCUGAAUGACAAGAACACCGCUUCGAAACCUGCAGACACCGGUGAGUGCCCUUAUCUUGAUACAUAGAGGUACCAGCAUUCAACCCCUCUGGUCAAUCCCGUACAAAAGCAACACAAACGGUGUCGCCGAAAGGGCUGUGAGAUCAGUUAAGGAAUACAUUCUCACCAACUUAGGCAAAGAUUGGGAUACACCUGAGAAGCUUAUCAUGCUAAACAGACAUAUUUCCCUACCUAAAUUAAAGAGAAGUAUUCCGGAGGGGAAGGGACUAAUCCCGGCUGUUCUGUCAUCCUUUAAUAUAGGCGACACAGUCUGGGUUAGGAGAGGAAAGCAAAACCGCGGAAAGGGACCGAACUACCAUGACCUCCAGGGGACAGACAUGAUAGUAUCCAUCCAACGAAUUGUAUUACUCUCAAAAACGGAGGUAUAGUGCACCCGUCACAAAUACACCUACAUCAUGUCAAAAGUGCUACAGCUGCUAAAACAGAUUAGUUGGUUGAGACGAGCCAAAUUGAAUGAUGAAAGUGUGGGCCAAACCAAAGACGGGUCCUCAGGCUUGACUGGUACCGUAUCAAGGGGACAGAUUGUCAUUUCGGCCACGGAGGAGGGCAUUAAGGUGGGAUAAACCAUCCAGCCACAUCAGUAGGUAAAUACCUGGCCUGGAAAGUUUACAACCCGGAGGAAUGCGUAUUAUGUCACGCCCCCGUAUUCGACUUGGGAAGGGUUAAGAAGGAACCGGCCACAAGACUUCAAAGCACCGGAGGCCCCACCACCUGAAGAUGAUAAUGGGGUGGAGCUUGAAGGUUGCUACAAGUGACUUUUUGCCAUAAGUGCUGGGUGAACCAUAAUCUUAAGUACAACGUAGCAAGAUACGAUCACCCAACU
ensembl:lncRNA